UGGGAAAAUCUUAACCUUGGCACCCUCACGGGGCCAACCACCCCCAUGAAUAACUGUCUCCCCUCCCAUCCCAGACCAGGUGGCAUAACCAAGGUUUUACUCCCUUCUGAAAGGCCGGGAGAGUGGGGGUAUGUAUUUACAGCAUGUAACCUCAUCAUAAAUAAAACUAAAUAAAUAAGUAAAUAUAAAAGUGCUAUAAUUAAUAGAUAGUUUUGACAGACGGCUAGACUCCUGUUUUAGUACUUUGUGCUAUGAGUGAAAACAAAAUUUGUAGAAGUGUACUCAUCUUUCUCUUUAUUUAGUGAGUUGGAUCCAGAGUUCCUAUAUAAGAUAAUUCUUUUUAUUGAUUUCUCCUUCCUCUUAUUCUGGAGAAAAGAGAGAUCUCCUGAAACUGUAGAGGCAGUAGUACAAGGAAAGUGGUACAGGCCCCUGGAUGAAGAUGAAUUGUCUCCUACUUUGUUCCAAUGGGGAGUUUCUACUGCACCUCAGUUCCUUCAUCAAAGCAAGAAGCCAUCUCUUCAGAAUAGGGACAAGAUGGAUCCAGCCCACUAUACCGUACCAUGAACAGUGUGUUCUAAGAAUAUACAUCUGAAAUAUUUCUCUUACUUUCUGUGUAAACAAUUUAUUCAGGACUGAAACUUUCUUCCUAAGAUGACAUAAUAUAGAAUAUUAUUUUUUAAACACAGCUUUAACAAGAAAAAAUAUGGUUUGAUGUUUGAGGCACUUCAGAUGGAAUGCACUUGUUGGGGUUUCUACUAAUUCUUCCAGAAUUUGUUAUUUUCAGGACACCAAGGACAGGUUUUUUUUUUAGUUGAUGAUAGCAUUAAAUAUUUGUUUACUUUUCUGUGUUCUUUAUAUCGCAUCAGAAAUCCUCCCUGUGGCACAAGUAGUCUUCCUUUAACUUUAAAAUAUUGUUGCCACAGAGAGGUAGAAGAUCUUGAUGAAACAUGGAUAUUUAAACAGAUCCUCCUUGAUUUCCCUUAUGGGAGGGGAAAAACUGCUCUGGAAAAGUGUUGACUGCUUACUACUUAAAACUACUAUUAUGGGAAACAAAUCCUGUAACUUCUCCAAACUUGCAUUUGCUUAUGAACGAUAUAAAUUUAGCAUUCUUCUGGAUUUUUCAACUUGUUAAAAAUAAUUAUAUUUAUACUGUAUGUAAAUUAUUUUUCUGAACAUUAAAUUUUAUUUCAAAUCUUAAAA